UUUUUUUUUUGCUCCUUGUUGUAAUUUUCAUGUGUUUUUGACAUGUCUUGUAUUGUUGAAAGAAAGUUUUUUAUACAAAUCCAAGGCCUAUUGCUACACGUUCAUGUCGUCGAGGUGUUCGACUUGUUGCAUUGCCAGUCGCGGUAAACCCAAAUUCGCCAUGCUUCCGGGGGCGUAGCGCGAGCGGUCGCACGGCCACAUGCACAUGGCCAGGCCGGCGGUGAAGACGCUCACCGCCGGGCCACCGGAAGCCAAGGGCGAGUUCAUCCGUCUCUGCUCAAGCGGCCGCCUCAAGGAUGCCCUCCACCACCCCUUCCGGAACGUCCUCUGGUCGGACCCUACCCUCUUCGCCCACGUCUGCCGGGCCUGCCGCGCCAUCCCGCUCCUCCGCCAGCUCCACGCCUUUGCCGCCACCUCUGGCGCCGCCGCCGACCGCUUCACCACCAACAACCUCAUGCUCGCCUACGCGGACCUCGGCGACCUCCCCACUGCGUGCAGCCUGUUCGAGAGAAUUCCGAAGCUGAACGUCAUGUCCUGGAACAUUCUGAUUGGGGGUUACAUCAAGAACGGCGACCUUGGAAGCGCUCGGAAGCUGUUUGACGAAAUGCCCACGAGGAAUGUCGCCACCUGGAAUGCCAUGGUCGCUGGGCUCACCAAUGCAGGGCUUGACGAGGAUAGCCUGGGGUUCUUCCUGGCCAUGCGAAGGGAGGGAUUGCAUCCUGAUGAGUUUGGCCUUGGGAGCGUGUUCAGGUGCUGUGCCGGCCUCUCCGAUCUUGUCUCUGGGCGCCAGGUCCAUGCAUAUGUUGUCAGGUGUGGGAUGGACAUUGACAUGUGUGUUGGGAACUCGUUGGCUCACAUGUACAUGCGCUGUGGGUGCCUUGCAGAAGGAGAGGCCGUUCUCAAAGCUCUUCCUUCUCUUACAGUUGUGUCAUUCAAUACCACAAUCGCUGGUAGGGCGCAGCAUGGAGAUUCUGAGGGAGCAUUGGUGUAUUUCUCCAUGAUGAGAGGUAUUGGGCUAGCGGCUGACGUGGUCACAUUCGUCAGUAUUAUUACCUGCUGCUCAGACUUGGCAGCUCUCGCACAAGGUCAGCAAGUUCAUGCACAGGUUAUCAAGGCUGGAGUUGACAAGGUUGUUCCAGUCAUUACUUGCCUUGUGCAUAUGUACUCUCGAUGUGGAUGCUUGGGUGACUCGGAAAGAGUUUAUUCUGGUUAUUGUGGAUCAGAUCUUUUUCUUCUCAGUGCAAUGAUCUCAGCUUGUGGGUUCCAUGGGCAAGGACAUAAAGCAGUUGAGCUGUUUAAACAGAUGAUGAAUGCAGGGGCAAGACCUAAUGAGGUUACUUUCUUGUCCCUGCUAUAUGCGUGCAGCCAUAGUGGUCUUAAAGAUGAAGGCUUGGAGUUCUUUGAGCUUAUGACCAAGACUUAUGGAUUGCAACCAAGUGUGAAACACUACACUUGUAUCGUGGAUCUUCUUGGGCGAUCAGGUUGUCUGGAUGAAGCAGAGGCCCUUAUCUGUUCAAUGCCUGUACGUGCUGACGGGGUCAUAUGGAAGACACUGCUAUCUGCUUGUAAGACCCAGAAGAAUUUUGACAUGGCCGAGCGGAUAGCAGAGCGAGUCAUUGAGUUUGACCCUCGAGAUUCUGCACCUUAUGUUCUGCUAUCAAAUAUUCGAGCUACCAGCAGGAGAUGGGGAGAUGUCAGUGAGCUAAGGAAAAACAUGAGGGAGAAGAACGUGAGAAAGGAACCGGGUGUCAGCUGGGUAGAGCUUAAGGGUCAGGUGCAUCAGUUUUGCACAGGAGAUAAAUCUCAUCCAAGACAAGGAGAGAUCGAUGAGUACUUGGAAGAAAUGAUGGCCAAGAUCAGGCAAUGUGGAUAUGCACCAGACAUGAGCAUGGUGUUCCAUGAUAUGGAGGAUGAGGAGAAAGAGGUUAGUUUAACUCACCACAGCGAGAAAUUGGCGAUAGCAUUUGCGUUUCUGAGUUUACCUGAAGGAGUUUCUAUCCGAAUAAUGAAGAAUCUACGUGUGUGCGAUGACUGCCAUGUUGCUAUCAAGUUGAUGUCCCAGGUCACUGGCCGAGAGAUUGUGGUCAGAGAUGUAAGCCGCUUUCACCAUUUCAGAGAUGGCAAAUGCUCCUGUGGAGAUUAUUGGUGAUGAGAGCACUCAACUGUGUGUAUCUUUUCCAUCUGCUGUGGGGAACAAGAUCUGUAUACUUGGUUCAUGGAAUUUUUUAAGUCAGCAGGUUUUGGUCUACUCAACUGAGGGAUGGGCUAUUGAAUUGGCUGUUUUGAGUUUCAACUAGUCUGUACCAAUCCGACCUGUACUCUGGAAAUCAUAAAAUUCGCUGGAUCUCUGAUCCUCAAAAAUAUAUGCAUUCACUCUGAUUCUCAAACAAAUCAUUGCCUUCUAUAAGUGACGGACUAGCAUUUUUCAGUAGAAUUCUGAAGUUCAGGAUAUGCAUUCUGUAUGAUAUGAAUAUUUGUGGACAGCGCUGAAAUACAAGAUUUGGUUUUCUCUACAACUAAUUAUCUGGUUGUCGUUGUCCCAUCUUUCAUCUCUUGUCAAUAUAUAUGCCUUUAUUAAUAAUUAAAUAUCUGCUCAGGAUGGUCAUAAAGCUGGAUCAUGUGUUCCUGGAGCCUGGAGGUUCUGAUCCUUCUGAGAGCAUGACAGUAGAAACUAUCGGUGCAAUUAUACCUGGAGCAACAAUAGUGCAGCGCUACAAAAUGGAAGGCAAGUGUCUCUUUUACUUGUCAUGCAAUAAUUCUGAUUGGAAUGUCAAGUGACAUUGUUUUUUCUUUUCAUUUCACUGGAUGUAUAUUUUGGUCAAUAAGAACAGUGGCCAGGGUCCACAGGCAACUGCAUAUAUGCAUUGUACAAUAGUCCCAUUGAAUUUCGUUUUGCAUUGAAAUUAAUUUUGGAUUUUGUCUUUCAAUUGGCUGUGCUUGGUUUUGAAUAAGAUUCAUAGUUAGAUUUUCUUUUUUGAGGUCAUGGCGUUUGUUUGUACAAAUUGACAGCAUUGUUUGGAGAUUCCUCGGGUUUCUUUCUGUUCCCUCUUGUUGCUCAUCCAUUUGUUCUCUUGAUUCACUGGCAAUUAUGCUGAAAGGUUAUUAUGCUGCUCUUUUUUUUUCUUUUUCUUGUGAGGGUUUCUUUACCUUGGGAGCGGGCUCGUUGAAAGAAGCAACCAAGCCCAAUGGCCAAUGGGGGUCUUCAGACACAUUCAGGUUCUACUCUUUGGCCCGCAGAUUGCUGCCAGAUUUUUGUGUCAAGUCAUAUCCAGACCUGGCCAUAUGGACCGUGCUUCUAAGGCGCUGCCCGUGGGCACGGAUUUUUGGCCUGGCACAAUACGUGAAUAAAAGGGCCGGGACGCCAUGGAACAAAGCCGAUCCCUGAGGGAGCUCCUAACACACGCCUGCUUGUAUGGGCCAGGCCCACGAACACACAGGUAGUAGCGCGAAAAAAGAAAACUCGGACAUAAGUGGCGCUGCACGUGGAAUCGAACUCACAAUCAAUACCUCCAGUAAGUUGUUGGCCGACCACUCGAGCUACUACAAAUAUAUGAAACAUUGCAGCGCGACGAUACAUAAGAACAGUAGCUGCGUAGAUAUUUAAAUUAUAUGAAAACAUUUUAGAAAAGCGUGAUUUCUUUUGACAAAAAUGUGUUUUUUUUCUCGGAAGUCCACAGAUUUUCGAAAAAAUUCAUCAAUUUUCCAAAAAGUUCACAAAAAUCUGAAAAGGUUCAUCGAUUUUUAAAAACUUUCCAGAAAAUCUGAAAAAAGUUCAUUGAUUUUGAACAAAAACUUCAUCUAUUCUCAAAAAGAGCUUAUCAAUUUUCAAAAAAAAUUCAUCAAUUCUCAAAAAGAGUUUAUCAAUUGCAGAAAAGUUCAUCGAUUUUUAAAAAGUUUACAAAAAUCAAUUUUGAAAAUUAGUUCACAAAUUUGAAAAACAUUCAUCAAUUUUGGAAAAGAGUUCAUUGAAUUUGAAAAAAACUUCAUCGAAUUUGAAAAAAGUUCAUCGAUUUUGGAAAAGAGUUCAUCAAAUUCGAAAAAGCUUCAUCAAAUUUGAAAAAGAGUUCAUCGAUUUUGGAAAAAAGUUCAUCGAAUUCAAGAAAAGUUCAUUGAAUUUGAAAAAAUUUCAUCAAGUUUGGAAAAAAGUUCAUCCAAUUCAAAAAAAUGUUCAUCCAAUUCAAAAAAAUGUUCAUCGAAUUUGGAACAAAGUUCUUCGAUUUCGAAAAACGUUCAUCGAUUUUGGAAAAGUUCAUUAAUUUGAAAAGUAGUUUAUUGAAAUGAAGAAAAGAAAAAACAAACAAACAAAACCCUUUCGAAUAAACAAGAAAAAUGAAAAAAAAAGACAUGAGAAGAAAAGAGUGAAGAAGAUAGUUUUGAACACAUAAGGUAACGGUGGUGCGGUGGUUAGCGUAUGGUGCGAAAGAAGAGGAGGCCGUGGGUUCGAUUUCCACACAACGCAUUUGCAUUUUUGUUUCUUUACAACAGAAAAAAAGGAACGAUGGGCCGGCCCAAGAAGACGCGUGAAGGAGGGAGAGGUGUGCGCCCUUUGCGCGGUUGCCUGUAGCGGGCACAACGGGCGCCGUUUAGGGAAUGCCGAUCCCUGAAGCCAGGCCUUAAGGCCAGCCCGGCACGUCCCUUUUAUUCAUGGGUCGGCACGACACAUCUCGGCACGUGGCGGCAUGCGGCCCAAGUAGGCCCAGAAGGCUUUUUUGGCCUUCAAACCUAAAAAACAAAAGGCCUAGAAGGCCGAAACGGCUCACAAGGGCCGAAAAAAAUGAACAAAGGCCGGUCCACAGGCAUGCCGGACCGUGCCGGCCUUUUUUUGGCGUCUGCCAAGCCGAUCCCGAAAUCACUAAUUAAAGAGUACUCGUUGCAAAAAACACUUCACUUUCCUAGGUCGCGACAAGUGGCACACAUGCAGCGUGCCACUUGUUGCAACCUGGGAGUUUUUCCUUUUUUUGUAGAUUCGUUUAUUCAAAACGCUUUAUCUUUUAAACCGUGCGUCCAAAUCUCAAACCGUUUUCAUCAUUGGAUUCCUCGCGUCGAGAUAUUCAAAACUAGAUCCCAUGUUCAUAGGUUUUGACGACUUUUUUCAUGAAAAAAAUCGGACGAAAAAACCGAACCAGGAGCACGGUUUUUUCCCUCUCCGAAAGAGGCACACCCGUGGCUCUCGCAAAAUCACACCCAUGCCUCUCGUGGAAACAAAACCGUGACUCUUGUGGAAGGAAAAAAAAACUGAAAACGCGUUUUUUUCGUUUCCGAGAGGCACGGCCGUGACUUUCGUGAAAGCACAACCAUGCCUCUUGCGAAAGAUAAACCGUGACUCUCGCGAAAAAAAAUAAAAAACACGUAUUUUUUCCCUUUCUGAGAGGCACGGCCGUGACUCUCGCGAAAGCACAACCAUGCCUCUCUCGGAAGCAAAACCGUGACUCUCGCGAAAGAAAAAAAAACAAAAAAUGCGUUUUAUUUUUCCCUUUCCGACAGGCACGGCCGUGACUCUCGCGAAAGCACAACCGUGCCUCUCGCGGAAGCAAAACCGUGACUCUCACGAAAGAAAAAAAACCAGAAAACACGUUUUUUUUCAUUUCCGAAAGGCACGGCCGUGACUGUCGCUAAAGCACAAGUAUGCCUCUCGCAGAAAAAAACCGUGACUUUCACGAAAGAAAAAAAAGAAAAUGCGUUUCUUUCGCACAAUUUUUUUUAUAUUUUUUUAUUGAAAAGCUAAGAAAGACCGGGGAAAAACCAAAACAUCGAACAAACCUGAAAAAAACCGUUUAAAAAACCGAAAACGCGUGCGGAAAAAUAAAAAAAUAAAAUUCAAAGGAAACGUCCAGAACGCGACACGUGAAGAAUAGCUGAGAACGCGCCAAGUGACGCUGAUUGUUGCGAGGCUCGCGAAAGAGCGCUCGUUAACUAGUUGGUCCCAGCCGAUCCUCGAGUCGAGGCCUUUGGACUGGCACGACAUGACCCUAUUAUAAAAGGUUCGACGUGGGCCGUGGCAUGCCAAGCCUUUAUAUUGGUGUGUCGGGCCGUGCCGCCCCAUAUGGCCAGGUCUCACGUCACGGCGCUUUGCUGGGCGUUUCCUAUUUCGCGUAUAGCUGCAUACCCACCCACACCCGCAUUUUUUUGAUUCUAUAUUAUCCGCAUGUGUAGAAUAUCCCUCCCAUCCCCACCUUGCUCACCAUCCUCUCUAUGGGUCGGCCCAUUCUGAUUUUCUCCCCCAACGGUUUUGGGAAGGUUCUAGAACCUUCUUCAAACUAGGUUUUCCUUUUUCUUUGUUUUUAUUCGGAUUUUCCCCCUUUUUUGUUUUUGUUUUCCCUUUUUGAAAUCCAUGAACUUUUUUCAAACUCUGGAAAUUUUUAGAAUUCAUGAAGUUUUCCAAAUCCAGGUUUUUUUUUCAAAUUCAUGUAAUUUUUUAAAAAUCAUGCAUAAUUUUUCAAAUUUGUGAACUUUUAUUAAAAUAUGGGUCAAUUUUCAAAUUCAUGAACAUUUUUUAAAAUCCAAGAAUAUUUUCAAAUUUGUUAACAUUUUUUAAAAUCUGUCACAUUUUUUUAAAUUCGGGAGCAAUUUUUGAAAUACACAAAUAUUUUUUGAAUUGACGCCAUUUUAUUUAAUCUGGGAACAUGUUUGGAGUUCAUGAAUAUUUUUAAAAACCGGUCAACGUUUUUUGAAAUUGGUGAACAGUUUUCUGAAUUCACAUUUUUUCUUGAAAUUGAUGAAAUUUUUUUGAAAUCCGGGAACAUUAUUCAAAUCCAUGAACAUUAUUCAAAUAUGCGAACAUUUUUAAAAUUUUGGAAUAUUUUAAAAUAUCGCGAUUUUUUUAAAUUCUGUGAUCACUUUUAAAAUUUUGGAACAUUUAUUAACCCGAAAACAUUUUUCAAAUUUGGAACAUUUUUAGAUCAUGAUUUUUCUUUUGCAAAUACGUGAAUCGUUUUUUUAAUUUAGAAUCUUUUUUGACAUGCCGAUCAUUUUUAAUGAAGCAACAAAUAAAACACAAAAGAAAACGAAAGAAAUAAACAGGGGCGCCCCACCCCGUAAUGGGCCGGCCUCCCGGCCUAAGCGCGUGCCGGAGUGGCCGUUUGCUGCGCUAGCGCCGCGUAGUGCGGUGCGGGGAUCAAGCAGGUCGCCUCACCAGCGAGUCAUCAGAUCAGCGACUCAUCACCAACCCCCACACCAAAGCAAGCACGAAGGUCAGAGCUCCCCGCGCCAUGGCUUCCCCGUCCCAAUCCCCCUCCCCUCUCCACCCGCACCAGCUCCAGCAGCACCCGCUCCCCCCGCACCAGCACCCCCACCCGCAGUACCAGGCCCCGCCCCCUUCGAUGCCCCCCCCGCCGGGGGCGCCCCCCAAGGCCAUGGAUCUGGAGGUCACCGUCGUCUCGGGCAAGCACCUGAAGAACGUCAACUGGCGCCGCGGCGAUCUCCGCGCCUACGCCGUCGCCUACCUCGAUCCCUCCCGCCGCACCGCCACCCGCCCCGACGACGCCGGCGGCUGCAAGCCCGCGUGGAACGAGCGCAUCACCCUCCAGCUCCCGCCCCACCUCUCGCCGCACGACCCCUCGCUCCUCCUCUCCCUCGACGUCUUCCACUCCAAGCCGUCCGACUCGCCCAAGCCGCUCGUCGGCUCCGCCCGCUCACCUCUCCGCGACCUCCUCUUCCCCGCCAGCCCUAACCCUAGCUCCGAUUCCCCCGCCUCACCGAUCAUCACCCUCCCGCUCCUGCGCCCCUCCGGCCGCCCCCAGGGCAAGCUCCGCAUCCGCGUCGCCCUUCGCGAGCGCUCGCCUCCUCCUCCUGAGCCGCAGUAUCCACCUCCUUCCUCCUCCCCCUACUAUUUCCCAGCCCCUCCGCCUCCCACCUACUCGGCACCGCCACAGUACGGCUCGGACCAGUACUACCGUCCUAGUGGGUACUACUCUGCGCCACCACCGCCUCCAUCUCAGUACGAAUACACCACAGGGCCCUCUGCACCUGUGGAGUAUGGCAGACAGUAUGAGCAAAGAGGAAGGACUGAGGGUGUGACUGGGCAGUAUGAUCCCAGAAGGACUGAAGGUGUGACUGGGCAGUAUGAGCCAAAAGGAAGGACUGAGGGUGUGACUGGUCAGUAUGAUCAAAGAGGAAGGACUGAGGGGGCAACUCCGAGCGAAAGGUAUGGAUUAGGCGCUGGGCUUGCUGUGGGUGCAGUUGCUGGGGGCGUUGGGGCGCUUGCGAUUGAUGAAGGUGUGAAGUAUAAGGAGGAAAAGGCGGCAGAGAGGGUGGGAGAGAAGGUGGCUCCUGCCGCAAGGGACGAUUACAGCGAGUAUCGUCGAGAGUAUUGAUGGGAGUUCAAGUGUGUGAGGAUGCGCUGUGAGUUUGUUCUUCUCAAUUCCUGUUAAUGUGGGAAUAAGUUGCAGUGUGAUUUCGUGGUUUGCUCUGUAUAUGUAUAUAUUUGCUUGAGAGACAUGAAUUACUAUAGUGCUUGUGCUUAUGGCCUGCGCGUUAUGACAUAUUUGGUCUGUACCAUAAACGUUUUGUGAUUACCUUUGAAGCUGUACUCGCAACUUGAUGUCUGUAUAAUUUGUCUCUGAUCUGAGUUGUGCUUAAGUCUGUUCCAUUAGUAUCUGUUUAUCUGGUUUGGUGCUUGGCAUUGCAGGGAACUUCAAUUUUAUGUUUCUUUCAGUCAAAUUAUAUUGCUUUUGUUGAACAGCGUACCAAAUUUGAUAUGAAUUUUUGCUUCUACACUCAAAUCUACACUUGUUUUGCAAGUUUGCAUUUUGCUGCAGUGUUUUCUCGUUUUAUGUCAUAACCAUGUGAGCCAAGUAUUUCGUACUUUAAAAGCCACAAUAUGUUCAGAGUUGCCAUGCUUCAGUUUAUCUUGCAGUCACGUAGUGUAAUUGGUAAUGCUCUGAAGGAGAGUGAAUGUGACCCAUAGAAAGCUAUAUCUUUUUUUUUUUGCGGAAAACAUACGAAGCUAGAUUGAUGUUGCACGAAUUUGUUUCAGAAUAAAUCCACCGUAAUGGGAAACAAUGUACGCAGAUUUUGUACACCUCCAAAUUUUAAGCACCUGACUUGGGCAAACUCACCCUAGUCCUUUGUGCUAUUUAGGAGCUCUUGUAUAUUCUUUCGAAUUAUAUUACCCUUUGUUUUGCUGGACUCGAAAUGUGAAAUAACAUUGCACUUACUGGACUAGGAUUCUCAGAGCUUCCAUGAGUAAUAUACUGAUGUGUAGUUGUUUGAGGAACCUUUUUGCUUUGCAUACUCUAAGCUGAACAACUUAUUGUUUGAUGCGUUUCUAAAGUCCUUCUCAAGUUUUUAAGAGCUCAUAUAUGCUGUACCAAGGUGUAUAUUUAUUGGUUGAUCGCAAUUUGAUCAAUGAUAAUACCAGACAUCAUCAUUAUCCUUUAAAACCAGAAGAAAUAUGGUCCUAUUUUGUGUUCUUGUGACAACCACUUAACAUUGCUGACACUGAAGUUCCUAGUUAUGCAGCUCCUGUAGGUCGCACCCAAUCUUCUUUUGCACUGAUGUCAUAAUAUCCUUGCGUGACUGUAACUUUAGACAUAUCUCGAGGGUAGAGCGCUGCAUACCAUUGUGUUACAACAGAGAAAAGCUUUUCAUUGAGAUGUUGUCUGGGAACUUGUCAGCUCCUAAAGGCUGUGCACCUGUGCCGUAAUACUUUUGCCUGAAACUAUAACACAAUGACAUCAUCUCUACUUGGAUUCUAUUUUCUGAUGGAUUCUAUUCUUUAUGCUUGCAAAAGAUGCAUAUCCAAGCUGUUGUGCCACUGCACGUAUCUUUAUCUGACAGAUUUUAUAGUGCCACAUUUGCAACCAAAGCCAAGAGAACAAACUUGUUCCUUUUUGAUAAGUUUUGAUGUUCUUUUUUCAGUUUAAUCCACAUAAUGUUUGAGCUUCUUACAUAAUGUGCAGUAGUUGGAGGAACCUUUUUGCGUUGCAUACUGUAAGCUGAAUAACUUAUUGUUCGGUGUGUUUCUGAAGUCCUUAUCAAAUUUCCUAAGAGCCAAUAUGCUGUACUGUGGUGUAUAUUUAUUGGUUGAUCGCAGUGUCUUCAAUGAUAUACCAGAUGUUAUCAUUAUCCUUUAAAAUCAGAAAAAUAUCAUUGCCUUUUAAAAUCAGAAAAAAUAUGGUCCUAUUUUCUAUUCUUGUGACAACCACUUCAACAUAGCCGACACUAACUUUCCUAGUUAUGCAGCUCCUGUAGUUAGGUUGCUCCCAACCUUCUUUUGCACUGAUGUACCAAUAUCCUUGCAUGACUGCAACAUUAGACAUAUCUUGAGCGUAGAGUGCUGCAUACCAUUUUCAUAUCUUCACUUCUGCCCUUGUUUCGCAACUGAAAAAAACUUCAUUGAGAUGUUGUCUGGAAAUUUGUCAGCUCCUAAAGGCUGUGCAUCUGUGCCGUAAUCCUCUUGCCUGAACUAUAACGCAAUGUUGUCAUCUCUACUUGGAUUCUAUUUUCUAAUUGAUUUUAUUCUUUAUGCUUAUAUAAAAGAGGCAUGUCCAAGCGUUAAGCUGAAAAAGGGUAGAAAGUAGCGUAUCUCCAAGAAAGGCCGUGUUUUGCACCAAUGCACAUAUCUUUAUCUGACAGUUUUACAUUGGGGCAUUUGCAUCCAAAAAGCCAAGAGAACGGACUUGUUUCCUUUUGAUAAGUUUUAACACUUUUUUCCAGUUUUAAUCCACAUAAUGUUUGAUCUUGUCGCAAAAUGCAUGACAUAAUAUGCAAUAGCACAGACAUCAUGAUAUACCACGAAACUGGUGACUCGUGCUGCUGGAUGGUAAUGUUGAUGAUGGCACUAUGUAAUGGCAUGAUUUUAUUGUGGAGACAAUAAAUUUGGACUGUAAAGGCGGAACAGUGCCAAAUCAGAGUAUCUGAGAACUGAUACCUGAUUGUUGAAGUAGAAUCUUUGGAUUUAGUAGUCAAUGCUGGGAAUAUCAUCAGUUGGGUAACUAGGAAUAUCAUAUGCCCACUUUAUAUUAUGAUGCUUGGUUCUAGUUGUCUUCAGGAAUGGCUAAAAUGUUAGCCCGCUGUAAUCUUGGUAAUAACCUAGCAGAGUCGAACCUAGCUUUUGAUAUGGUCCACAAUUAUGUUGCUCCACCUACCUGAAAAUGUAAUUAAAAAAGUCCACCAAUGCUCUUUAUCUGUAUUUAAAGGUUUCAUUGUACAUAUGAUUUUUACUCUUCGUUCCAUGAGUUCACGUUGAGUUGGUUAUUGGGUAAGCUGUGCCUUGCUGCUUUCUUGCUGCUGCUGUAGUCUGUAAUGAAACUGUGAGAUAAGGUAGUGAAGCUAAGUUUCUGUAACUGUCUCUAGUCUUAUUUCUUAGUAGCACAGAUUCUUUCUUCUAUGUGAGGAGGGAGUUUACUUAAAUACGGAACAUUGUGUGUGGUAUAGUCAUGGAUAUUCCUGAAUAUGCAGUCGAUCUAAAGGUUUAGUAGCUUGCCACUUCCCAUCUAAAAGCCCAAUAUGGAACUGUUUGGUUUUUGUGUGCCAGAACUGUUGUUUCUUGGAAUACGCUAUCGGUCUUUUCUGAACCUAGCGUUACUUAACAGUCAGUGGUGUCCUCGUCUAAGAAUGAUCAAGGGUUGGACAUAUAGCACACAUCCUUCUAUAAGAGUUAUGGAUUUACUUGGGCCACCAGUUUGCUCAUUUGCGAUGUCCCGAGGCUUUGAUAUGAUAUGUGACUAAUGCUGUAUUGUUUAUCUAAGGAUACAUGCUUCCACUGUAUUUGUUGAACUUAUGUUUCCUGUUUUAUAAUUAUUUUAGUGAUGUCUGCAAUGUAGCCUUUGAUGACAAGUGGCUAUUGCUGAUGUAGUUUGAUUCUUGAAGGGAUAAGGCUUCAGUUGUAUUGAAUAAACAUGUUGUAUACACAAUAGAUUAAUCGACUCUUAAUUUUUUUUAUGUAGAAACUCCUAACUCCCUUUGCUGAAACUGGACUUGAGGUUGAAAGACUUGUAUAUAUUGCUUUUUGUGUUGAACUGCACUAAUUUGUUCCCUUUUUAUUUCAAUUGUUUCUUAUAUCAGUGAAGUCUAGUGUAGAAUACAUAUUAUCAAUAUUUUUCCGACAUGUACAUAUUAUCAGUAAUUGUUUGUCCGGGAGAUGUCCAGUCUUGACAUGUCCUUUUUUUAAUCAUCCAUGCAUUGUCAAAAAGAAAAAAGGGAACAGAUUUGGACAUUUUUAACCCAUAGACAUCCUUGCACAUGUUUAUCCGUACAACAAUUUCAUUCUGUAUUGUCUUCUUAUUUUUACUGAAUGGUGGGUGCCUCAGAAUGUUAGCCUGAAUUCACCACCACCAGUAUUGGCAACCCUAUCUUAACACGUCAAUCCACAAGCCUCUUAUCCAUUUCCAUUUGCCUGUGGCGGAGGAGCAAUCCCAAACUAGCUGCUUAACACUAGUUGGCUUUGACAACUGAUUAUACUGUUUGAACUAGUCUGUUUACUAGUGUUUGUUAAUGUACUUUUUGAUUCAUAGACUGCCAUCGAUUUCAUUAUUUCAAGCUGUAGCUACUGUUUUGUGCAACCCUAUAAACACUAGGGCUCUGCUUCACUGGGAUUUUUUUUCUUCCUUUUCCUAGUGGCACUGGCUUUCGCUAUGGUAGAUAUCUGUUAGUUUUGUCAGUGCAGAAGUGGGUUUCGAUCGUUAUAGGAAUCUCUAUGAAUGGCAUCAAGGCUGAGAAAAAUUAAAGCAGCCGGCUGAACAAAAUAAAAGCAGUUCACUGGUCUGAUGUAUUUAUUCAAGGUUUGCCGACUGGCCGGAGUAGGAUAAUAUUCUGAAGUCCAUGCAUUGCUCUCGUAUUUUUUUUUCUUAUUCGAAUUUGAUACCCUUUUCAUCAUAAUCUGUCUAACGGACCAUUAUCCUUUGGUUUCGGAAAAUGGCCAAAUAAUACGCUUCAGCUUAUAAAAUCGUUGGACUUUGUUCGCCGGUCGUGUUCUUAAUCCAUUCGUUGUGCUGCUGACAUGGACGACUCAAUGAUUUUUAUUCGACUUCAAAUUGAUACGUGUUUCUUAUGCGAGGCCCAUCCCAUUCUCAUGAUUGCUGUUCGUUCUAUGGCGAGCAUUAUUUUGCGUGUAUUCUGGUGGCAUUUGUUUAUAUAUACGCUGCUGUGGCCUGGGUGCAACCGUCCCAGACGGGAUUUCGGCCCGGCGCGGCCAUCCAUCCAUCGCCGGCUUAAAUAUGCAGGCUGGUCCAAUAAAUAUGGGCCGGCUGACGCCGACUCGCGCAGCCCGGUCUGUCCACAGAGCGCACCUCUAAGAUGGUGCUCCUCGCGCCCGACACGUCGCCCUAUAAGCCCUGUGAGAGCUACGGGCCAGAUUCCGCUAACGCCGUCCCCUUCGCUCCCCCGAUGAUGAUGCCGCGCGUGACCUUUUUCAUGCAUGCAUGGAGGGAUUCAGGCAGAUCUUAUCCCCCCCCUUUUCGCUUUUUCUCCGCCCGUCGCCACCAUCCGUUUCGUCUAGGCACGCAGGCAGGCAGGCAGGCAGGCAGGCUCUAGGGGGAACCCAGGCGUUCACUGAACCUGACGGCACUGGCCGUGGCGCACACCAAAGCUUGCACUCUAACCAAAUAACUGGAGUGGUGAGCUGCAUAUGCCGCUGCUCGCUGCACCGCACGCACAAGCCUCGCGAGUUGACCCGGCACCGCGCCCGGAAAUGCGCCAUCCAUUGCUUUUAUUUUAUUAUUAUUCCGUCUACGUAACGAAAAUGCUCUCGCAGUACUGCUACUGACACUAGUAGAUGCGGAUCAAUCGUGCCAGGUAGACGGCCACUGCGUGGGUGCACCGGCUGCACGCGGCGCGCGCUGACACGUCGGUGUAAUAAUUCCGCCAAGUGGGUCUUAGAAAACAUAGUUUCCCAAGUGGGUCGGCGAUCGGGUGGCUCCGGUGCCGGCCACGAAGGUGCGCUCGGCCCGCCGGGCGCCCAUACGCGGUUUAUGUCAGGCGGCCGGCCACUAGGCGGGGCGCACGCAACGCAACGGAGCUCUCCUACAGUGUAGGAUCGGGACGCGUAUCUCCAGUGGUAUUACCAUGUGCGUGAUCCCACGGGUUAAUGCUUAAUUAGUCGCGGUCAGAGGAGCGCAGGCUAGCUGCCCUGCUCGCAUCACAUCACGGCUGUGGACGGCGUUGCUGUGCUGCCUACUUAGCUAGUACUAGUGCUAGAGGAGUAAUCUAAGGGCGCAGUGCGUUUUACAUUGUUUAAUCGUGAUUGCCGUGGUAUCAGGAUGUGGCGUUCCUCGUGUUCGGUGUGCAGGUUUACGGGCCGCGACAAAGAGGGACGUCGCUGCCAGCGUCAAGGCCCCCCCUUGAUGAGUGAUGAUGGGCUCCACUGGAGGGCGAUCAGGACGUGAAAUGCUCAAACGUCAGGUGUGAUUCGCGGGGGGAGGAGACCGGGGACCGGAGACCGGUAGGACCCGAGCAACACGUGGCCGCGGGUGCAGCGAAACGCGCACGCACGCACUGACGACCGCGGUGGUGCGGAGCAAAAGGGUUUACCCUACGCGGCCCGCGCGCGCACGACGGCACGAGGGUCCAGGUCCGGGUGCGCGCAGGCAGAUCGGGAGAGCGGAGGCGUCGCGCACCCGGCAAAAUGCGCCAGGCGGAUUGGGACGGACUCGCAUGAGUGGCGGAUGGUCAACGCACUACUAGGAGAACUGGCUAGGCUUGCAUUGGACGAGGACAGCUAAAGGAUAAUGCAUUGGAUGGUUUGGUGAAAAAUGUGUGUGCCAAAGAACCAAGGAGAAAUGGGUUUUCGGCAUAUCCAUUGUUUCAACUUCGCUAUGCCGGCUAAACAGGCUUGGCGUCUUAUCUAGAAUCCGGAUUCUCUAUGUGCUACUAUUUUGAGAGUCAAAUACUAUCUUGACGUUGACUUGUUGAACAGUGACCUGAAGAAGGGUUUUUCCUUCACCUGGCAACGUAUUAUGACGGAUGUGAGCUCCAUGAAGCGUGGUCAUAUUUGGCAAAUGGAAAAUGGGCAGAAUAUUGACAUUUGGAAGGACGCCUGGAUUUCAAAUUGUGCAAACCGUAAGAUUGUUACCCCCAAGGGAUGCCAGUUGUUACGGAAGGUAGCAGAUUUGAUUGAUCCAAUCCUAAAUAGUUGGGAUGAAGAUCUUCUCAGACAGACUCUAUGGCCUUUUGAUGUUUAUGAAAAAAAAAUAUAUGAGACCAGGUCUCACGGUUAGCAGGUGAGACUCAUCCUGAUGGGUGACACGUGGCAUCCACAAAUCACAAAGCAUCUAAUCUCCCCCCCUGAAAUCAGGAUGGGUCUCACCUGCUAACCCGUGAGACCUCGUCUCAUAAAAUUCUUUUCCUUCUACGUAACAUGAUAUGCUAGAUUUCGUAGCUUGGAAUAUCACAAAAAAUGAGAUCUUUACGGUUCGGUCUGCUUAUUUUGUUGAAUGAGACCAUCAAUAUGGGAACAAGUUACGACAUACCAAUGGGAUGGGACGUACCACGGUCAAUUCUAUUUGGGGGAGGAUUUAGAAACUUGCUUGUCCAGCAAAGGUUAAAAUAUUUAUUUGGCGUACACUUCACGACACUCUUCCGUGUCAUGUUAAGUUAGCUAAUAGACAUGUGAAAGUCUCGCCUGAGUGUCCUGCCUGCUCAUCUGGGCCAGAAGAUACAAAACAUCUGUUGUUCCUAUGUGACAGAGCAAAAAAAGUCUGGAGAAAACUAGGGAUGGAAGAUAUUAUCGACAUAACUUGUAAAAAAGACUAUGCGGGUGAGGCAGUCUUGGAAUAUUUACUUUCAUUAUCAGAUCAGGAACUAUGUAUUAUGGGCACUCGAAAUGUGCGUGACAUGAUUGCCAUAUCAGCCUGGUACUUGUGGUGGGAAAUGCACAAAUUGAUACACAAUGAGGCUACUCAGAAUGCACAACAUAUAUCCAUGGGGAUACGCGCUCUCACUGAUAAUUUUGUUAAUGCCUCCUUGCCUAAGGCUUCCAUGAAAAGAGGAGGAUGGUCUAGCCCCCCGACGGGAUUUGUUAAACUUAACGUUGAUGAUUCUUUUAACCACGACCUUCUCAGGGGUACGAUCGGGGUGGUCUUAAGAGAUGAUAAAGGUAGGUUCAUCGGUGGGGAAAAUGGUAAGAAUGACUGGCUAUGCUUGCAUUGGAUGAGGAUAGCCAAAGGAGAAUGCAUUGGAUGGCUCGGUGAAAAAUGUGUGUACCCGAGAACCAAGGAGAAAUGGGUUUUCGGGAUAUCCAUUGUUUCAAUUUGGCUAUGCCGGCUAAACAGGCUUGGCGUCUUAUCUAGAAUCCGGAUUUUCUAUGUGCUACUAUUUUGAGAGUCAAAUACUAUCCUGACGUUGACUUGUUGAACAUUGACCUGAAGAAGGGUUCUUCCUUCACCUGGUAAAGUAUUAUGGCGGGUGUGAGCUCCCUAAAGCGUGGUCAUAUUUGGCAAGUGGAAAAUGGACAGAAUAUUGACAUUUGGGAGAACGCCUGGAUUCCAAAUUGUGCAAACCGUAAAAUUGUUACCCCAAGGGAUGCCAGUUGUUACGGAAGGUAACAGAUUUGAUUGAUCCAAUCCUAAAUAGUUGGGAUGAAGAUCUUCUUAGACAGACUCUAUGGCCUAUUGAUGUUUAUGAAAAAAAUAUGAGACCAGGUCUCACGGGUAGCAGGUGAGACUCAUCCUGAUGGAUGACACGUGGCAUUCACAAAUCACAAAGCAUCUAAUCUCCCCCACUGAAAUCAGGAUGGGUCUCACCUGCUAACCCGUGAGACCUCGUCUCAUAAAAUUCUUUUCCUUCUACGUAACAUGAUAUGCUAGAUUUCGUAGCUUGGAAUAUCACAAAAAAUGAGAUCUUUACGGUUCGGUCUGCUUAUUUUGUUGAAUGAGACCACCAAUAUGGGAACAAGUUACGACAUACCAAUGGGAUGGGACGUACCACGGUCAAUUCUAUUUGGGGGAGGAUUUGGAAACUUGCUUGUCCGGCAAAGGUUAAAAUAUUUAUUUGGCGUACACUUCACGGCACUCUUCCGUGUCAUGUUAAGUUAGCUAAUAGACAUGUGAAAGUCUCGCCUGAGUGUCCUGCCUGCUCAUCUGGGCCAGAAGACACAAAACAUCUGCUGUUCCUAUGUGACAGAGCAAAAAAAGUCUAGAGAAGACUAGGGAUGGAAGAUAUUAUCAACAGAACUUGUUAAAUAGACUAUGCGGGUGAGGCAGUCUUGGAAUAUUUACUUACAUUAACAGAUCAGGAACUAUGUAUUAUGGGCACUCGAAAUGUGCGUGACAUGAUUACCAUAUCAGCCUGGUACUUGUGGUGGGAAAUGCACAAAUUGGUACACAAUGAGACUACUCAGAAUGCACAACAGAUAUCCAUGGGGAUACGCGCUCUCACUGAUAAAUUUGUUAAUGCCUCCUUGCCUAAGGCUUCCAUGAAAAGAGGAGGAUGGUUAGCCCCCCGACGGGAUUUGUUAAACUUAACGUUGAUGAUUCUUUUGACCACGACCUUCUCAGGGGUAUGAUCGGGGCGGUCUUAAGAGAUGAUAAAGGUAGGUUCAUCGGUGGGGGAAAUGGUAAGAAUGACUGGUGUGCAGAUGUCCUGAUGGCUGAAGCUUUGGCAUUAAAAUUCGGCCUAUCACUUGCGCAAAGGACGGGUUAUAAUCGCAUAAAUAAUUAUUAACUCAGAUAAUAUGGAGGUGAUCGAGACCAUGAACGAAGCAGGACGAUCGUCGGGGGCAUCAGCUGCAAUUUUUUACGACUGUUUUCACUUAGCUUGCGGUUUUCCUAUUUCUAGAUUCGAGCAUUGUAAUAGAGAAGCAAAUAAAGUUGCUCAUGAACUUGCCAAGUUGGCUAGAUUUUCCUUCAUUUUUGAUUGGCUGGAGGAACCACAUAAUACAAUUGUACCAAUCCUCAUAAACGAUGUAAUGAUUAUUUCUAAUGAAUAAAGCUCGAACUUUCUUUCAGAAAAAAGGAUAAUUGGCUAUUGGUGGCGGGAACAAAUUGGACGUACGUGUCCGUCACUGGUAACCUGCCACUCGUAACAGGUUAUCAUGGCAAACGUCCAUCCGUUGUAAGCAAUCCAGUUAAUAGUGACGGGCAGUUAUGUGGUAAGCAAUCCAAACUAGUAUAUGCUUAUCUAGAUUGUAAUCAGUAUGUCGUUAAUGCUGUCAAUGCCAUGUUCAUGAUCAUUUUCUGGAUUAAAUUAAUAAAAAAUUGCCUAUUUACUCAACAUGUGCUAUGAUCAUGAUAAUUAUUGGUCCAUAGUUUUUUUUCGUGGGGCACAUAUGUGUGAUAAUGGGGAAUUCAUAAAAUUUAUACAUAAAUUAUGAAGUUGACCUUACGAGUAAACAAUAAAACUCUCCGCAAAAAAAGAAAAAGAAUAAAACUAUCCACAAAGUUAUAUUAUCUCUAGAUGUCCUCCCGUUUUAUGUCUACUGGUUGCAAUGUAUAUAUUCAAACAAAUUACUAACCUAAUAUUAUAUUCACCUGACAGAAGUAUUGUAGACAAUAAUCUUUGUUUGAUAGCCAGAAUAAGUAGUCUACAGAAUUUUCUCCAUCAACGCAUAUCUUCGAUAAAUGCGGAAUUCAUGAAUAUCAAAUUGAUACCACAUACAUCGGGUCUCUAUUACAAAACACAACAACAUGAGCGAACCAAAGCGCAUAUAAUCUAUACUUCAUAUAUAAGUUCCGUGCACUCAGGUAUAUUGCCAAAAUUCUUUCAAGUUUUUUUUUGAAAUUAUUCUUCCAAGUAUUGAAAAAAAUACAUAUGCCAUUACACUCAUAUGCUUUUUGGAGUCCUUGAAAUGGAAUAUACCACAAUGGCCAAUGCUAGAGAGAAUAAUAUAAGUAACAACUGUUAUGUUUUAUGUAUGAUGAAAAGACUCUAUGACUCUAUGACUUGAUUGCUAGAGUAGUGUUUUUGAAAGUGAGGAUAGUUCACAUUACUACAUUUUAGAGCUCCAUCCAUUUCAAAAUGUACAAUGUAUGUUGAUUUCUUAAUACAAACAUUUAGCCAAUAAUUACGCUGUCCAUGUGAUAGAAAACCGCAAUUGUUAGUAUGUGCCUUUGAAUACAAACAUAGAAAACUGCAAUCCAUGUGAAACCGCAAAAAUAUAUGUUAUAUGCCCUCUAGAACUAUGUGUUUGAAAACUGUAUUCUAAUACGUAUCCAGUGAUACGCUUUUGAUGGUAUAUAACACAUAUUCGUUAGUCAAAUUGAGGACCCAUAGCCCACACCGAUCCUAUAAACCCGACUAGGACCUAUAGCUCACACUGAUCCUAUAAACCCGACCAGAAGGAGUAUUAACUAUUAUCCAAAGCGGGAUUUAUAAAUCUUAGUCGAUUGAGAUUUAACGAAGUCUCAGGCAAUGCUAUAUUUAUGAGAUCUUACAUGAAAAUUUGUGUAAAACUUUCUUCUAUUUUUUUUCUUUCUCCCUUUUUAUAUGUUAUGGCACUUGAAAAGUCCUUUUCUUCCGUUUCAUUCAACUUUCAAAAACUUCCAAAUUCCACUCGAUUCCAUACAAUUAAUCAAACAACAAUCAACAAACAAUCACAACUACUUAUUUAAUAUAACAUUCCAAAAUUUAGAAUUUUGGGAUUCCAAAAUAAAUCUCGCCCUCGAGAUUCGGAGAGGCUAGAAAGAAGGUUAGGUUUGGGGGGGGGGGUCUUCUUAGGCCCUGUUUGUUUGGACUUUUGCUUCUGCUUUUGCAGCUUUUUUAUUUUGACCAAAAAGCCAUAAAAGUUCCUAAAUAGAUGCUUUUAAAGCUUUUUUUUUGUCUUUUGAUGAAUCAAUGUAACAAUAUUGAGCUCCAAAUGCGAUAAAAGCUGCAAAAGCACCUAUUUAGGAGCUUCUGUGGCUUUUUGGGCAAAGUGAAAAAACUGCAAAAGCAAAAGCCCAAACAAACAGAGCCUUAAAAAUCCGUCGAUCAUCACAAGGUCUGGGUGCUACCGCCCUUAAAAGCAAGGUUACGGUUCCAACAAAACUCAUGUACUCCAUCCUUAGGAUUGACAAUGGUGGUCUUAUCAUAUCUUCGGAGUAACUCCUACACUUUGUUAAGUCUCAGUCGACUAAGCUCUAGUCACACCCUUAUCAAAGUAGUACUCAGCCAAUUAGUCUUAUCUUAUACUUCCUUCAUCCGGAAUUAAUUGACGCUUAAAUAGAUGUAUUCACAUAUGGUUUAUGUUUUGAAACGACUGGAAUACAUUACUGGACAGCGCACGGAAUAAGGAGGAAUUAUUUGUUAAGCCGCCGCAUACUGGGAAUUUAGCGAGUCUCAAGGAUAUAUUUCAUGUCUUAAUCUGACUAGCUAGUGUCCUAUUAGGAGACGCGCUGGUGUACAGUAUAAGUCUGUACUGUGUGUGUCAGAAAGCCACACAUAUGCCAUCGGUACAUCGACAAGGAGAACUCAUGAACACUGUGCAAUCAAACACUUUCACAACCUUAUUUUCAGUUACCAGUUCCACAAUCCAUCAUCUCCUUCAGCAAACGUCGCUGCCUAAACUAGUCAAUCCAAGCACUACAUACGAGUACCAGGCCCACCGCCCGCGCGCACCACCUCGUCCCGAAAUGGCUUCUUCCCGCACACCAACCAGGCAGCUUGACGACAUGUCAUGGCGGCCCUACUUGCGCACGCACGCACGGACGGUCGCGAGCCCGCACUGACCGGUAGGGGUACAUCGAUCGA
rnacentral:lncRNA from 1 species